UACGUAGGGUGCAAGCGUUGUCCGGAAUUAUUGGGCGUAAAGAGCUCGUAGGCGGUCUGUCGCGUCGGCUGUGAAAACCCGAGGCUCAACCUCGGGCCUGCAGUCGAUACGGGCAAACUAGAAUACUGCAGGGGAGACUGGAAUUCCUGGUGUAGCGGUGAAAUGCGCAGAUAUCAGGAGGAACACCGGUGGCGAAGGCGGGUCUCUGGGCCGGCACUGACGCUGGAGACGCGAAAGCGUGGGGAGCAAACAGG
rnacentral:rRNA from 1 species